UAGCAUAUCAAUAAGCGGAGGAAAAGAAACCAACAGGGAUUGCCUCAGUAACGGCGAGUGAAGCGGCAACAGCUCAAAUUUGAAAUCUGGCCCCCCUCUGGGGGGUCCGAGUUGUAAUUUGCAGAGGGCGCUUUGGCAUCGGCGGCGGUCUAAGUUCCUUGGAACAGGACAUCGCAGAGGGUGAGAAUCCCGUACGUGGGCGCCUGCCUUUGCCGUGUAAAGCCCCUUCGACGAGUCGAGUUGUUUGGGAAUGCAGCUCUAAAUGGGAGGUAAAUUUCUUCUAAAGCUAAAUACCGGCCAGAGACCGAUAGCGCACAAGUAGAGUGAUCGAAAGAUGAAAAGUACUUUGGAAAGAGAGUCAAAUAGCACGUGAAAUUGUUGAAAGGGAAGCGCUUGCAGCCAGACGUGCGCGCGGUUGCUCACCCCGGCUCUCGCCUGGGGCACUCUUCCGCGCGCAGGCCAGCAUCAGUUCGGGCGGUCGGAUAAAGGCCUCUGUCAAGUACCUUCCCCCGGGAAGGCCUUAUAGGGGAGGCGCAAUGCGACCAGCCCGGACUGAGGUCCGCGCAUCUGCUAGGAUGCUGGCGUAAUGGCUGUAAGCGGCCCGUCUUGAAACACGGACCAAGGAGUCUAACAUCUAUGCGAGUGUUUGGGUGUCAAGCCCGGGCGCGCAAUGAAAGUGAACGGAGGUGGGAUCCCCUUCCGGGGUGCACCAUCGACCGAUCCUGAUGUCUUCGGAUGGAUUUGAGUAAGAGCAUAGCUGUUGGGACCCGAAAGAUGGUGAACUAUGCUUGAAUAGGGUGAAGCCAGAGGAAACUCUGGUGGAGGCUCGCAGCGGUUCUGACGUGCAAAUCGAUCGUCAAAUUUGGGCAUAGGGGCGAAAGACUAAUCGAACCAUCUAGUAGCUGGUUCCUGCCGAUCU
rnacentral:rRNA from 1 species